AACGCACAUGGCGCCGGGCGCGAGCCGGGCAUACCUGUCUGAGGGUUGCGACGUAUUGGGUUUCCGAGCUGGUGGUCAUCGUUUACGUGUCCACUCGAAAAGAGCCGCGGGGAGCCGCCACAGCGUGACAGCAAGACUCGUCUUGACUCGCGACGGCGUGCAAGCCGCGAAUACCGGCAGUGCGCGGGGUAGCACCCGCACACUACCAGUAUCCACCAGUAGCCUCAGGUCAGGCAGGACUACCCGCUGAACUUAA
rnacentral:misc_RNA from 1 species